GUUGGUGUCAACACCCUUGAGUCGCUGCAGAAGUUAAUGCUUUUGACUUUAAGAGAAUACCGAUAAGGAAACAUCAAGUGACAGCAAAGAUGAGUCCAC
rnacentral:lncRNA from 1 species